GUGAAAUUCAAAGGAAUUGUCGGGGGCCCGCACAAGCGGUGGAGUAUGUGGUUUAAUUUGAAGCAACGCGAAGAACCUUACCAGGCCUUGACAUGGGAUGCGAAGACGCAGAGAUGCGUUGGAGGCAAACAUCCACACAGGUGGUGCAUGGUUGUCGUCAGCUCGUGUCGUGAGAUGUUGGGUCAAGUCCCGCAACGAGCGCAACCCUUGUGGCAUGUUGCUAACAGGAAAGCUGAGGACUCAUGCCAGACUGCCGGUGACAAACCGGAGGAAGGCGGGGAUGACGUCAAAUCAUCAUGCCCCUUAUGGCCUGGGCUACACACGUACUACAAUGGCGGCUACAAAGAGCGGCGAGACAGUAAUGUCGAGCGAAUCUCACAAAAGCCGUCCCAGUUCGGAUUGGAGCCUGCAACCCGGCUCCAUGAAGUUGGAAUCGCUAGUAAUCGCGGAUCAGCAUGCCGCGGUGAAUACGUUCCCGGGCCUUGCACUCACCGCCCGUCAA
rnacentral:rRNA from 1 species